rnacentral:rRNA from 1 species
CCUACGGGUGGCAGCAGUGAGGAAUAUUGGUCAAUGGACGCGAGACUGAACCAGCCAAGUAGCGUGAAGGAUGACGGCCCUACGGGUUGUAAACUUCUUUUAUAAAGGAAUAAACUGAGGCACGUGUGCCCUAUUGCAGGUACCUUAUGAAUAAGGAUCGGCUAACUCCGUACCAGCAGCCGCGGUAAUACGGAAGGUCCGAGCGUUAUCCGGAUUUAUUGGGUUUAAAGGGAGCGCAGGCGGGCCCUUAAGUGCGUUGUGAAAGUCCGCGGAUAAACCCUGGCACUGCAGUGGAACCUGGCAGUCUUGAGUCCGGUUGAGGUAGGCGGAAUUCGUGGUGUAGAGGUGAAAUGCUUAGAUAUCACGAAGAACUCCGAUUGCGAAGGCAGCCUACUGUAGCGCUACUGACGCUGAGGCUCGAAGGUGCGGGUAUCGAACAGGAUUAGAUACCCCUGUAGUC